CCUACGGGGUGCAGCAGUGGGGAAUAUUGGACAAUGGGCGAAAGCCUGAUCCAGCCAUGCCGCGUGUGUGAAGAAGGCCUUCGGGUUGUAAAGCACUUUCAGUGGGGAAGAAAGCCUUGGGUCUAAUACCCUCGAGGAAGGACAUCACCCACAGAAGAAGCACCGGCUAACUCCGUGCCAGCAGCCGCGGUAAUACGGAGGGUGCGAGCGUUAAUCGGAAUUACUGGGCGUAAAGCGCGCGUAGGCGGUCUGAUAAGCCGGUUGUGAAAGCCCCGGGCUCAACCUGGGAACGGCAUCCGGAACUGUCAGGCUAGAGUGCAGGAGAGGAAGGUAGAAUUCCCGGUGUAGCGGUGAAAUGCGUAGAGAUCGGGAGGAAUACCAGUGGCGAAGGCGGCCUUCUGGACUGACACUGACGCUGAGGUGCGAAAGCGUGGGUAGCAAACAGGAUUAGAUACCCCAGUAGUC
rnacentral:rRNA from 1 species